GACGAACGCUGGCGGCGUGCUUAACACAUGCAAGUCGAACGCUGAAGCUCAGCUUUUGUUGGGUGGAUGAGUGGCGAACGGGUGAGUAACACGUGAGUAACCUGCCUCCUUCUUUGGGAUAACGCCCGGAAACGGGUGCUAAUACUGGAUAUUCACUGGUCUUCGCAUGGGGGUUGGUGGAAAGGGUUUUUCUGGUGGGGGAUGGGCUCGCGGCCUAUCAGCUUGUUGGUGGGGUGAUGGCCUACCAAGGCUUUGACGGGUAGCCGGCCUGAGAGGGUGACCGGUCACAUUGGGACGGAGAUACGGCCCAGAGUCCUACGGGAGGCAGCAGUGGGGAAGAUUGCACAAUGGGCGCAAGCCUGAUGCAGCGACGCCGCGUGAGGGAUGGAGGCCGUCGGGUUGUGAAACUCUUGCGCUCAUGGUCAAGCCGCAACAAUGGUUGUGGUGAGGGUAGUGGGUAAAGAAGCGCCGGCUAACUACGUG
rnacentral:rRNA from 1 species